rnacentral:rRNA from 1 species
CCUACGGGUGGCAGCAGUGGGGGAUAUUGCACAAUGGGGGGAACCCUGAUGCAGCGACGCCGCGUGGGUGAAGAAGCGCCUCGGCGCGUAAAGCCCUGUCAGCAGGGAAGAAAAUGACGGUACCUGAAGAAGAAGCCCCGGCCAACUACGGUCCAGCCGCCGCGGGAAUUCGUCGGGGGCAAGCGUUUGCCGGAUGUACUGGGGGGAAAGGGGGCGGAGGCGGGGGAGCAAGCCAGGUGUGAAAGACCGGGGCCCAACCCCGGGACUGCUCUUGGAACUGCGGGGCUGGAGUGCAGGAGGGGCAGGCGGAAUUCCUGGUGUAGCGGUGAAAUGCGUAGAUAUCAGGAGGAACACCAGUGGCGAAGGCGGCCUGCUGGGCUGCAACUGACGUUGAGGCCCGAAAGCGUGGGGAGCAAACAGGAUUAGAUACCCCGGUAGUC